rnacentral:lncRNA from 1 species
CCCGGGUCGCUACUACCGGGAACCCUCAGAAGCCCUCUGAUCUGAGAUGGGGCGUCUGGGUGCGGUGCAGCCUCCGCUCCCCCAGCCUCUGCUUCGGCGCCUGGGCAGUCUAGCGUCCCGGCAGCGUUCGUUGCCUAGCAACAGGCCGCGCAUGUUCCACUUCCGGUUAUCUGUUGCCCUAGUGACUGAGCCCGGAACCUCAGAGCGUUCCCGCGGAAAGUCUUUCUGUGCUCUCACCCGCACUUCUGUUGCGCCACGGUGGGGCCGCAAGGGGUGCGUUCGGCACACCCGAGGCGGUGGGUAGCCGCCGUGAAGCGUGAAGACCCUUUGAUUACUGACGUCCAUCCUCACAUCUUGCACCCUCCAAGUAAGCGGGGUGCACAGGACCCCCAUCUUAAACCCUCAUUUAGCUUUUUUUUGCCUGGAAGUUGUCUGAAGAUUGGUGACGUGAAAUGAUCGCAAAUUACAAUGCCAGUGUGGGCAAGUGGAAGGCAUGCAAGACUGGCGCCAGAAAACACCUUUAUUAACUGUGUGCUGGCCAACUCCCAUUCUCCAGUUGACUCUUCCCACAUGCUAGAAAAACUAUUCCUUGGAAGAAUGCCAGAAAAAGAACCUACAAAGAUUCAUUUAAAUUCACAUUCUCGGAUAACUUGUUAUAUGAAAGGUGCUGUGCUAAGCCCCAACCCACAAGAGUGACCAAGACAGUUCCUUCAGCACAGGUUAGGGGAAGGUUCCAGCAAGCAUUUAUAAUGCAGUGAAGACAGAGCUGGAAAGGAGUCCUCGGGAAAACACAAAGCACCAGCCAAUUUUCUCAUGGAAGGUGUGUAAGGUUUGUGGAAGCUGAGGUCUGAAGGAAGAAGGCAUGGCCAUGCAAAGAAUGUUCCAGGCAGAAAGCAGAUCAUAUAUAAAAGCCUGGGACGAAGAACAUGCGCGUUGGAAGAAUUGAAAAUGGAUUGAAAGACUAAAGAGUAGAUUUGGGUAAAGGGGUUUAGAAUUUAGAGAUGAAACAAGUGAUAAUCUUACAAAACAUGGUAAGGAGUUUAGAUUUCAAGGGCAGUUGAUCUGCAUUGAAAAGUUUUAUGUUAAGAAAUAGAAGAUUCCCAUCCUAAAAUUCUUAUGGAACCUUAAGGGAUCCCUAAUAAACAAAACAAUCUUGAAAAAGAAGACCAUGGUUGGAGGACUCACGCUUGAUUAUUUCAAAAUAUACCAAAGAGCUAUAGUAAUCAAACAGUCUUUUCAACAAACGGUGUUGGGAAAACUAGAUUUUCAUAUGGAAAAAAAAUAAAAAUAAAAAAUCAGAAGUGAACACCAUAUGUAACAGCAUAUACAAAAAUAAACUCAAAAUAGAUGAAACACCUAGAUCUAAGAGCUAAAACUAUAAACUCUUAGAAGAAAAUGGGGAAAACUCCAUGAUGCUGGAUUUGGUGAUGAUUUCUUAGAUAUGACACCUAAAAC